rnacentral:rRNA from 1 species
GAUUUCUGGCUUGAAACAUUUUGCCGGCCACGGUUUCGUGUGUUAGUGCUUGAUGUUCUGGCCAUCCUUCCAAUCGCUAUUGGUUACUCUUCAUUGAGUGGUCAGUAGUAUUGGAUCUUUUACUUUGAAAAAAUUAGAGUGUUUCAAGCAGGCUUUAUGCUAUGAAUACAUUAGCAUGGAAUAAUAAUCUAGGACUUUCGGUUCUAUUUUGUUGGUGUUCUGGAGCUGAAGUAAUGAUUGAUAGGGAUAGUUGGGGGUGCUAGUAUUCAAUGGCCAGAGGUGAAAUUCUCGGAUUCCUUGAAGACUAACUUAUGCGAAAGCAUU